CAACUCUUAUGGGGAGAAGCUGAGGGAACUGGGAUUGUUCAGUCUGGAGAAGAGGAGGCUUGGGUAGCUCUCUAUAGCUACCUGAAAGGAGAUUGUGGCGAGGUGGGAUUCUAUCCUACUUCAUUUCAUGCCUACUAUGGGUGUAUCGUUUGUUUUAAUGGGCAUUCUUCUGAGGUAAUAGUGAGGUGCAGUGACAGAAGAGUGCACUCUUCUUUGCAAACAUCUCAGGAUGACCCUUGUCCAAACACAGUUCUAUGAGUAACUCCAGAGGGCAAUCUAUUAUCUCCAGAGCUGCUCACUGCAACUCUGCUCAUCCAAGAGAGGGUUUGUAUUGCUUUUACAAUAUUGGUCCUGUUAAGGGAAAACAGCUUCUGUGUGUAGCCUUGAAAACUGAACUCAGUGUCCUAAGUGAAAUUGAUGCACUCGUUGGAAGACCUUCUUGCUGCAGCUGUGAAGAGAAGCCUUUUUUUAGCCAUCUUUAUCUUUUCCUCCCUUGAACACUGUGUGUUGCUACUCAGUCAUUGCUAAUUGUAGCAUAUUGGCAUGAAUAUUAGAUGAUGAUUUGGAGAUGCUUAGCACCUCGGGAAAAAUAAUUGCAGCAUGACCUCCGAUUUAAACCAUCACCUUAUUCUUAUGCAUGACAGUAUCUUUAUUCUGUAUUUUUUUAAUAGGGCUAACACCUUAUUUCCUCCAUCUCAUUUACUGGAGCCUGCUGUGUGAAUGAGAUUGGAUAUUUUUUUUCUAAGUCCAACAGAUUGCUCGUCCACCUCUUCAGUGUGCAUGCCCUCAUUUUGUAGCAUUUUAGAUUCUACCAAACAUGAUUACCUGGAGAAAGUGAAGGGAAACUCUGCUCUCGUUGACAGAUUUUGUUGCCUGUGACAAGAAAGACAAUGGCUUAGCUCUCCAUUCUGCCAUGUCAGAUUUUUUGGUGGCUGCUGAUGUAAUAGAGGAGCUUCAUUUGGACCCUUUAGUUUACAUUCCCUACCCACCCUUUUCCCCUUAAAGAACUUAAGGUGCAGCAGCAGUUGUGUAUGUGGAAAAUUACACACCAUUAUGUUUCUUUCGGUUUAACUAUCCCAUUGGAUUGUAUUGCAUCCCCUCAACGUGGGAUGUAUUAAAAACAAAACAAACAACAACAAAAGAAUCAGCAAUAACAACAACCCUACAAUACAGCUCAUGCAGUGCCAAAACAAGCAAAUACAGAGAAAGCUGAACACAAACAGUUAAUUACCAUUUGCUGGUACAUGCCUACACUGAAUACAGGUGAAACAGAAGUAUCUGAACUAAAUCUGAGUGUAAUAUAAUAGUGUUCCAUUAAGUGUAAUAUAAUAAACUUCUAAUAUAAUUUUC
rnacentral:lncRNA from 1 species